rnacentral:rRNA from 1 species
GACAGAGGGUGCAAACGUUGUUCGGAAUUACUGGGCGUAAAGCGCGUGUAGGCUGCUUCGAAAGUCGGAUGUGAAAGCCCUGGGCUCAACCUAGGAAGUGCAUUCGAAACUUCGAAGCUGGAGUCCUGGAGAGGAAGGCGGAAUUCUCGGUGUAGAGGUGAAAUUCGUAGAUAUCGAGAGGAACACCUGUGGCGAAGGCGGCCUUCUGGACAGUGACUGACGCUGAGACGGCGAAAGCGUGGGUAGCAAACGAGGAA